GUCACCUUGGCGGAGUGGUUAACGCGCUGCCCUGCUAAGGCAGUUCCCUCGGGAGCGUAGGUUCGAAUCCUACAGGUGACA